rnacentral:rRNA from 1 species
GAUGAACGCUGGCGGCGUGCUUAACACAUGCAAGUCGAGCGAGUGAGUUCUUCGGAACGAUCUAGCGGCGGACGGGUGAGUAACACGUGGGCAACCUGCCUCAUAGAGGGGAAUAGCCUCCCGAAAGGGAGAUUAAUACCGCAUAAAAUUAUCGAGUGGCAUCACAUGAUAAUCAAAGGAGUAAUCCGCUAUGAGAUGGGCCCGCGGCGCAUUAGCUAGUUGGUGAGGUAACGGCUCACCAAGGCGACGAUGCGUAGCCGACCUGAGAGGGUGAUCGGCCACAUUGGGGCUGAGACAAGGCCCAGACUCCUACGGGAGGCAGCAGUGGGGAAUAUUGCACAAUGGGGGAAACCCUGAUGCAGCAACGCCGCGUGAGUGAUGAAGGUCUUCGGAUUGUAAAGCUCUGUCUUUGGGGACGAUAAUGACGGUACCCAAGGAGGAAGCCACGGCUAACUACGUGCCAGCCGCCGCCGUAA